GAAGCAAGGCAUUUCUGGCAGGUCACGAUCAUUUACCAUGAACUUUGUCCUUUGUGCCUUUUUUAAACCAUUCAAAGAGAAGCAUCACUGAUUGGAGGGAGAACAAAGAAGACAGGUUUAACACAUUUGUUUGUGUGUGUGUGUGUGUGUGUGUGUGUGUGUGUGUGUGUGUGUAGGUGUGUGUGUGUGUGUGUGCGCGCGAACCUGACGUUUGCCCCAGCUAUAAUUGGUUCAGGCUGGGCCUGCAUAACCUGUUUGUUACUUGUUUUCAUCAAUGCACCUUGCACAUAAGGAAGUCUUCCACAUUCCUAAAAGUGCCCUGUUGUCCUGAACUUCUGAAGUGAGCGGAUGAAGCAGAAAGAAGUAAAGCAGCGAAGCGUAAGCAGUGUGCAGACAGUGACACUGUUAUGGACAGUGGGCGCAGAUGUUCGUCACAGCGGCUGGUCUUCAGUGUCUCUGCGUCUUAGUACCGCAUCUGUGCAAUAAAUAGGAUAUUCUUUUUAAAGAAGCGCUGUCAAACAAUCUUCAAAUAAGGAAGCUUUCUGUAGAGCUGACUGGGAAAUUCCAGUUCGUUUUUUGGUCAUUAUUACUGACUGGAACUAGAGUGAAGAAGAAAAUGGAUGGAGAAAUGAGGAGCAGAAGGGCACUUUCUCUGAUGUGCUUGUUUCUGACUGUGCUCCAGAUCAGCACACCUUCCUCAGCUCAAAACACAACUUUGAGUACUGCUAGCACCACCACCAAAGCUCCGAGCACUGACACUCUCAAGUACAGCACACAACCAUCUAACAUCUCAGUGGGUGUGGGAGAGUCUGCAGUGUUUCACUGUGGCGUGCCCGAAGCGCAUCCGAACCUCACGUUCACCUUGUACGGGAGUAAUCACAACUACAGCCUCACCUGCCCAGGUGGCCAUGUGGAAGACAUCCCCCAGGCUCUCUAUGGAAGUUGUGAAAUGAAGAAUGGAGAGUCGCUGGCUGUGUGGACUCUCCUGGGAACUGCCUUCCCCAACAACGGCACAAGAGUAGUUUGUCAGCAGCUGAGUAACCCAAAAGCGCUCUCUGCCGUCCUGCAUGUUUAUGAUACUGGUGCAACCAAUGUCCUUCUCAUUGGCUGUAUCAUUGGGGGAUUCUUUGGAGUCCUAUUAGUGGCAGCUUUGUUAUACACCUUCCUGGUCAAAUCUGAGUCCUUCGAGAAAUGCUUCGGUGGGGAAGAAACCGAAGAUGAUUUGACCACUAUUGUAUCAAAGGAAUAA
rnacentral:lncRNA from 1 species